UUCUCGUCUCUUUAAAACAAAAAUUAGAAUCCCUAAAAUUUUCUCAUUUCGUAUGCUUGCUUCUCUCUGUGCUUUCCUCUCUACGUUCCUCUCUGCAUCUUUCUCAUCACGUUCCUCUCUAUGCAUUUCUCUCAUACAAUGGUGCACCUUGGGGAAGGAUAGGAGUAUCUGAAGAACAACUACAACCAGCACAGAAAGCAGUUUGCAGAAUCUGGUUUAAUAGAAAAUUGGAGAAGAAAUAGAUAGGAGGGCAAAAAGAAAGUUCAGGUACAAAAUGCAGAAGGAAGGAAUUUUAAAGUAAAAGAUGAGUACUACAGACAGGCGUGAAAAAGAUAUCUUCAAUUUUGAAGGUGAAGUGAAAUCAAGUGUUGAAUUACUUAGGAGAUUUCAAAUUAAGCGUGAAAAGGAAAGACUUGAUAAUGAAGAUCAGCCUUAUGAUGAUGAAGAGACUGAAUGAUGUUACUUACAUGGAUAGAUGACUAGCUAUGCAUAAUAUUCCUAGAUAACACUUUUUAUUGAAAUUUAGAAUUUUUAUGUAAACUUUGACAUCUUUGGAUAAUUUUAUUUAGAGUUUUAUGCUUUUGAAUUGUCAUAUACUUGUAACUAAUUAAUGCAAGUGAAUUUUACA